AACGCACCUUGCGCUCCUUGGUAUUCCGAGGAGCAUGCCUGUUUGAGUGUCUUGAAAUCAUCAACCCCCUACGUUUUCGGACGGGGGAGGGUUGGAGCUGGGGGCCCUGCGGCCGCUAGGUCGCUCCCCUCAAAAGCUUGGGUCGGGCCUGUGGGCCGGACUCGGUAGGGCGUUGUACCAUCCUCGCUCCUCUCCGAGACAUUCCGCCUUCUUUUGUGCCCGCCGCCGACCUGCCCCUCUGUUUGGGCGGUCAAACCAACCUUUUGAAAUCUGACCUCAAAUCAGGUAGGACUACACGCUGAACUUAA
rnacentral:misc_RNA from 1 species